rnacentral:ncRNA from 1 species
GCAGAGUAGAGUAAUGCGCGUUAAGUGCCGCCUGUACAGGGAGUUGACGGACGGACGAAAAGGCAGCCGCGAAGGAGCGGUGAGGUCUUGCGGUGUAUUAUUCGCAUCUCGCUGC